GUAGGGAAUAUUGCGCAAUGGGGGAAACCCUGACGCAGCGACGCCGCGUGAACGAUGAAGGCCUUCGGGUCGUAAAGUUCUGUCCUCAGGGAAGAAUAACGGACUAGAUCCGCCAUGACGGUACCUGAGGAGGAAGCCCCGGCUAACUACGUGCCAGCAGCCGCGGUAAUACGUAGGGGGCAAGCGUUGUCCGGAAUUAUUGGGCGUAAAGGGUGCGUAGGCGGCUGUUUAAGUCAGAUGUGAAAGACCACGGCUCAACUGUGGGGUUGCAUUUGAAACUGGACAGCUUGAGUGUUGGAGAGGGUAGUGGAAUUUCCGGUGUAGCGGUGAAAUGCGUAGAUAUCGGGAGGAACACCAGUGGCGAAGGCGACUACCUGGACAAUAACUGACGCUGAUGCACGAAAGCUAGGGGAGCAAACAGG
rnacentral:rRNA from 1 species